AGAAUGCCGGCAUGAGUAGCGCAAAACAUGUGAGAACCAUGUUCCCCGUAAACCUAAGGUUUCCGACGGAAGGUCAGUCCGCGUCGGGUUAGUCGGGCCUUAGCCGAGGCCGAAAGGCGUAGGCGAUGGACAUCCGGUUAAUAUUCCGGAACCACUCAAGUGGAGCGAUGAAGGGACGCGGCGUGGUAGGUCAGCCUCUUAACGGAUUGAGGUGCCAAACGCGUAGGACGUUGAAGGGUGUAGGUAAGUCCGCACCCCGAGUCCGAAACGUGAUGGCGGUGCCUUAGAGCCACAAGUGAUUGAGCCAUGCCGCCUAGAAAAGCUUCUAAGCGUUGAUAUUUGAGUGACCGUACCGCAAACCGACACUGGUAGGUGGGUAGAAUAUACCAAGGGGAGCGAGAGAACCCUCGUUAAGGAAUUAGGCAAAUUUCCCCCGUACGUUCGCAAUAAGGGGGGCCUCUGGUGGUGAGCUUAAUCGCAAAGCUGCUGGAGGCCGCAGAGAAAUGGCUCUUCCAACUGUUUAACAAAAACACAGGUCUCUGCUAAGUCGAAAGACGAAGUAUAGGGGCUGACGCCUGCCCAGUGCUGGAAGGUUAAGGGGAGAGGUUAGGCGCAAGCCGAAGCUUUGAGCCGAAGCCCCAGUGAACGGCGGCCGUAACUAUAACGGUCCUAAGGUAGCGAAAUUCCUUGUCGGGUAAGUUCCGACCCGCACGAAUGGCGUAAUGAGAGGAGCACUGUCUCAACGAGGGACUCGGCGAACAUUGAAGGACGUGCGAAGAUACACGUGACCCGCAGCGGGACAAAAAGACCCCGUGAAGCUUUACUACAACUUGCCAUUGAGUUAGGGCUAAACCUGUGUAGUAUAGGUGGGAGGCUUUGAAGCUGGGACGCCAGUCUCGGUGGAGCCACCGUUGAAAUACCACCCUGGUUUAUUCUUGGCUCUAACCUGUCGCCGUUAUCCGGCAUGGGAACAGUGGCUGGUGGGUAGUUUGACUGGGGCGGUCGCCUCCGAAAGCGUAACAGAGGCGCCCAAAGGUUCCCUCAGGCUGAAUGGAAACCAGCCGUUGAGUGUAAAGGCACAAGGGAGCUUGACUGCAAGACCAACAAGUCGCGCAGGGACGAAAGUCGGGCUUAGUGAUCCCACGGUUCAGAGUGGAAUGGCCGUGGCUUACCGGAUAAAAGCUACUCCGGGGAUAACAGGGUAGUCUGGUCCAAGAGUUCAUAUCGACGACCAGGUUCGCCACCUCGAUGUCGGCUCAUCACAUCCUGGGGCUGGAUAAGGUCCCAAGGGUUGGGCUGUUCGCCCAUUAAAGUGGUACGUGAGCUGGGUUCAGACCGUCGUGAGACAGGUCGGUCUCUAUCCGCUGUGGGCGUAAGGGAUUUGAGAGAAGCUGCCCCUAGUACGAGAGGACCGGGGUGGACGGACCUCUAGUGUGCCAGUUGUUCUGCCAAGAGCAUUGCUGGGUAGCUACGUCCGGCAGAGAUAACCGCUGAAAGCAUCUAAGUGGGAAACUCGUCUCAAGAUUAGAUCCCUCAUCCGUAUGGAGUAAGACCGCUAGAAGACUACUAGUUUGAUAGGCGGCAGGUGUAAGCGCAGUAAUGUGUUCAGCUUAGCCGUACUAAUGGUCGAGGGCUUACGUUU
rnacentral:rRNA from 1 species